rnacentral:tRNA from 1 species
GAGGGUAUAGCACAGUGGGUAGAGCACAUGCUUAGCAUGCACAAGGUCCUGGGUUCAAUCCCCAGUACUGCCU